UACGGAGGAUGCAAGCGUUAUCCGGAUUCAUUGGGUUUAAAGGGUGCGCAGGCGGAUUGGUAAGUCAGUGGUGAAAUUCAACGGCUCAACUGUUGAUCUGCCAUUGAUACUGUCAGUCUAGAGUAUAGUUGGAGUGGGCGGAAUGUGUCAUGUAGCGGUGAAAUGCUUAGAUAUGACACAGAACACCGAUCGCGAAGGCAGCUCACUAAGCUAAAACUGACGCUCAUGCACGAAAGCGUGGGGAUCAAACAGGAUUAGAUACCCUGGUAGUCCACGCUGUAAACGAUGAUUACUCGAUGUUGGCGAUACACAGUCAGCGUCUGAACGAAAGUAUUAAGUAAUCCACCUGGGGAGUACGUUCGCAAGGAUGAA
rnacentral:rRNA from 1 species